AAAAGAUUAGUUUAAACUAAAACAUUAGCUUGUCAAGCUAAAAAUAUUUAUUUAAUAUCUUUUA
rnacentral:tRNA from 1 species